AGUCAAGCAAACAAAGGCGAAUGGUGGAUACCUAGGCACACAGAG
rnacentral:rRNA from 1 species